GGGACGGGUGAGUAACACGUGGAUAACCUACCUAUAAGACUGGGAUAACUUCGGGAAACCGGAGCUAAUACCGGAUAAUAUAUUGAACGCAUGGUUCAAUAGUGAAAGACGGUUUUGCUGUCACUUAUAGAUGGAUCCGCGCCGCAUUAGCUAGUUGGUAAGGUAACGGCUUACCAAGGCAACGAUGCGUAGCCGACCUGAGAGGGUGAUCGGCCACACUGGAACUGAGACACGGUCCAG
rnacentral:rRNA from 1 species